rnacentral:rRNA from 1 species
AAUGAACGUUGGCGGCGUGGAUUAGGCAUGCAAGUCGAGCGUGAUCAGUUUGGUGCUUGCAUUAAACUGUGAAAGCGGCGAAAGGGAGAGUAACGCGUAGUUACCUGCCUCAGGGUUCAGAAUAGCCACGGGAAACUGUGGGUAAUGCUGAAUAACAUCUCCGGAUCAAAGGUGUGAUUCCGCCCUGAGAGGGGACUGCGUCCUACUAGUUUGUUGGUGGGGUAAUGGCCUACCAAGACUUUGAUGGGUAGCGGGUGUGAGAGCAUGACCCGUCUCACUGGGACUGAGACACUGCCCAGACACCUACGGGUGGCUGCAGUCGAGAAUCUUCGGCAAUGCGCGCAAGCGUGACCGAGCGACGCCGCGUGCGGGAUGAAGGCCUUCGGGUUGUAAACCGCUGUCGUAGGGGAGGAAGGCUCCAUGAAGAAUGGGGUUUGACCUAUCCUAGGAGGAAGGACGGGCUAAGUUCGUGCCAGCCGCCGCUGUAAGAC